CAGCAUCCAUGGCCUCAGCACCCACAAGGUGAGGAUGUGCCAGCAGGUAUACUGCACAGGUUAGAGGACAGGUGUGGUCUCUCCUGUUGGACCUGGAAAAGGUAAAGUUGGAUAACCAAGGGAAAUACAAGAGAAUGAAGGAGCAGGCCAGGCUCUACUUCUGGGACAUCAAAUUUAUAAACAUGGGUGUGAGCCACAUGUUCCAAAACAAUAUUAUAUCCCAGGAGUGGUAUGGCACCAAGCAGUAAGCCCUCUUCAAUGUGCUUGUAGUUUACUCUGUCUACAACACAAAUCUUAGCAGGGAUGAGAGUUCCCAGCAACACAAACUCCUGUGUGGCUCCCUGGAGGUGGCUCUCCACCCCACUUGCUCUUUUCAGAAUAUUCCAUCAAGGAAUACCAGCUGAGAUGACCACACAGGAUGACCACAGUGGGGUCUGGGGCUGCCCAACCACCAUGGCCCUCCAAGCCACAUAUAUGCCUGAGGUGGGCUACUGCCAGGGCAAGAUCCAGAUUGUCGAACUCCUGCUCAUGUUUAUUAAUGAGGAGGAGGCUUUCUGGGCACUAGCCCAACUGAUGGACAACAAAAGACAUGCCAUGCAUGGCUUCUUCAUUCCACAGUUCCUGAAACUUCAGAGAUUUUAGGUCCAUCAUGAUAAGAUCCAAGACAAGACUCUCCCCAAGCUGAAGAGGCACCUGGGACAAGGAAUACAUGUACACAGAAAUUUAUACUAAGUUGAGGUUCCAACGUUGCUUUAUCAACCAGAACACCUCCUGAAGCUUCCCCUGCAAGGCAUGUAUGAGUUUCUCCAGGACAAGGUCUCUGGCCCUAGAGGAUGAUGCAGUGAUCAAAAGGCUACAGGCCUCAAUGGCUGAGCUUCACAGGAAGAAUUUGGACCUACCUCUCCCAGCAAAACCUAAGAAGUUCCCCAUGAGGACCCUAGGUCUGGAGCAAUCAUACCUGGAACCCAAGGCUUACCAAACAAUUACAAGCAUCAAGGAACUAUCUGAAGAGGAUGGGCCUGACCUCCCUGGCCCAGCUGCCGAGCACCAGCAGCACAGACCCUUACCCAGCCAGGCCUGCCUAAAGGCUGAGGAACACCAGCAAGAGGGGGCCAUGGCAUCACAACUCCAUUGGAGGGCCUGAGAGUCACCAUAUCUGGCCUACCAGUUCCCACCCCUGGGCAUACCUCAGGACCAGAUGUGGCUGUGGAGAUGAACUUCUUUUCCCAACAUCCCGAGGAACUAUGGGUGUCCAAUCAAGUGGCCAAUUGAUAUAGGAUUUGAGCCCGAGUUUUGGGACCUUUGCCCCUCAUCAAGGGCCAAGGUCACCCUCAGGGCCACACUGCAAGCCUAGCCCUGCAGUCCCACAAAGGCCCCAGCCACAGGUCCUGCCCAGGCCCACUGAACAUGCAGCCACAGGGCCCAGGACACCCCUCCUUCCCCAUAGCAAGUUCAGCUAAUGCCCCUCCCAGGGCAGUGAUCAGCACAGCCAAGAUAGGAUAUGAGAUUUCAAUUUCAUUAUGAUUUGUAAUGCUACUCCAUCAUUUUGCAAAUGACCCUCUGACAUAAUCUAUGACAUAAAGGGCAUUUCUGAUGAAGUUUAUGAAAAAAAUCCAGUAAAAUUUCUAGGAUUCAAAUGACAUGCAUCUAGCCACUUGUAGCAUGAAAUUAUUGAAUCCCAAAUCCCAGUGUCCACCACAGGGUGGCAGAAUUGAUCUUCUUCCUCAGUCAUCAGGCUGCAAGUAUUCAUAGAGAAGACACUUCCAAAAAUGUCUAAGCAUUCGUAUUAAGGAGCUCUAAAGGAACUGCACCAAUAAUUUCCCACUAUAAAUCUAUUAAAGCUAGUUUCAUUUCUUUCUUGUUACUAUGGUGAAAAAAAUGGUAGUGGUGAAUUUGGUAGGGUUUGUAGCAUGUCUCUAAUGACCUUAGACCAUGUUAUUCCCAGAAACUUGCCUAAUUACUUCAAGGCCUUUAGUUUGGUUAAAGAAGAGUUCUACAUGGCUAAUUCUAUUUACCAUAGUUUGCCUAGUCUCUCAAGCUUCUCCCUUUGAGACAGAAACUAUUGUUAAGUUGUCGAUAUAAUAAUGUAUUUUAGAUAUGGUAAUACAUAAAUCUCUUUUUUUAAAAGUAUGACAGUAUGUUAAAGCUAUAUCAUUCGGGGGGAAAUAAUAAACCUAUUCUGUAUUCUUUUGCAUAUAAAAGUAAACUAUGCCUGACAGUUCUUUGAUUCUAAAAGUUAAUCUGGAAGCAUAAAUGUAUGCAAAUUGCAAUUAAUUUUUAAAAGAGUAAUGAGUAAUUCUAGAAGACAAAACAAAUUAUAAUGUUAGAACUAGAAUCACAUACUGGCACAUAAAUAUAUAUGGAAUGCAAAUGAUUAACAAAACAUGAAUUAGCCCAAUUUCACAAAUAUGUAUUUAAAAUAAGGAUAUUUCAAUAUAAAAGAUGGAAUCCCUGCUGUGGCACAAUAGGACUGGCAGCACAAAGGACACAGGUUUGAUCCCUGGCCUGGCACAGUAGUUUAAAUAAAAGAUCCUGUGUUGCCACAGCUAUGAAGUAGGUUGCAACUGAAUCUCAAAUAUGACCCCAGGCCUGGACAUUCCAUAUGCCACAAAAAUAUGUUUCAAUUAGGAUUAUUUUAGUUGUAAAUGAAAGGAAGAUCAAAUGAAAUUAUUUUUAAAUAUAAGAUUUGUUGAUUGGCUUAUGUAAAUACGAACUCCAAAACCUUGAAAGCCUCAGAAUGAGUUGAUAAAAAUGAUCAAUUAUACUAUAAUAAA
rnacentral:lncRNA from 1 species